GGGUUGUGAGGUUAAGCGACUAAGCGUACACGGUGGAUGCCCUGGCAGUCAGAGGCGAUGAAGGGCGUGCUAAUCUGCGAUAAGCGCCGGUAAGGUGAUAUGAACCGUUAUAACCGGCGAUACCCGAAUGGGGAAACCCAGUGUGAUUCGUCACACUAUCAUUAACUGAAUCCAUAGGUUAAUGAGGCGAACCGGGGGAACUGAAACAUCUAAGUACCCCGAGGAAAAGAAAUCAACCGAGAUUCCCCCAGUAGCGGCGAGCGAACGGGGAGGAGCCCAGAGCCUGAAUCAGCAUGUGUGUUAGUGGAAGCGUCUGGAAAGGCGCGCGAUACAGGGUGACAGCCCCGUACACAAAAGCGCAUGUGCUGUGAGCUCGAUGAGUAGGGCGGGACACGUGGUAUCCUGUCUGAAUAUGGGGGGACCAUCCUCCAAGGCUAAAUACUCCUGACUGACCGAUAGUGAACCAGUACCGUGAGGGAAAGGCGAAAAGAACCCCGGCGAGGGGAGUGAAAAAGAACCUGAAACCGUGUACGUACAAGCAGUGGGAGCACAGGUUUACCUGUGUGACUGCGUACCUUUUGUAUAAUGGGUCAGCGACUUAUAUUCUGUAGCAAGGUUAACCGAAUAGGGGAGCCGGAGGGAAACCGAGUCUUAAU
rnacentral:rRNA from 2 species